CAAAGUUAUAAUCACAGCAGCGCAGCGGCAGCAGCAGCAGCAACAGCAGCAAUGGCCGCUUUCCGCAGAGUGGCAUCGCUGGCCGGUAAGCUAUCCCUCUGGUCGGCGGCGAGAAACGAGCUCGUCGGCGGUCAUACGGCCAGUGGAGGAAGGGCACGGAGGUGUCUGGCUGUCGGGAUGUGUCUUGCAACGGGGGGAGCCGUGGCGCUUUACUUCUACAACGAUAUGACGAGCGGCGGAGGCAGGAAGAGGAUGGCGGGUCACAGCAUCAACGGUCUGCUGCCGUCCAUCCCGACUGUUGUGGCCAAGGACAAGGCACGUCCUUUUGACUUUGAGGAUGGAGACGUGUACAUGUCGUCCCAUGAGCAUCGCUUCCGCAUGUUCAGCUCUGUGGAGUAUGAAGGGCAGCUGUACAUGACUCCACAGAACUUCAUUGAGUCUGUCACCAUGAGCGAACCAAGAAACAAGAGGCCCUGGAGGUCCCUGACCAAACAGGAGCUGGAGAAGAUUUUGACAGAAACUCCCCCAGUAUGGAGAGGAUCCUCCAAAUUGUUCCGCAACCUGAGAGAACGAGGAACAGAAAAAUUAUACAGCACCAAAGAGAGAGAGGGAGAGAAGCUCCCCCUAAUUAAAGCAUUUGCUUCAGAUGAGUGUGACAUAGGAAUCACACAGUCUGGGAGCAUCAUCUCAUACACGGAGUACCUGUUCCUGCUCUGCAUCCUGACAAAGCCCCACGCUGGCUUUAAGAUUGCUUUCAAUAUGUUUGAUGCAGACGGCAACCAGAUGGUGGACAAGAGGGAGUUCUUGGUGCUUCAGGAGAUCUUCCGGAAGAAAAAUGAGAAGAAAGGGAGGAAAGGAGAUGCUGAGAAGUCAGCACAGUUGAGUAUGCAGCUCUAUGGAUAUCAGGUUGCCCCCAUGAACAGCGUGCUAAAAAAAGACAGUCAGGAGUUUGUGGCGCGGAGUUACUGGGACGUUCUGAGGCGAGGCGCCAGUCAAGUCCUCUUUUCUGACCUGGCGGAGCGAGCAGAUGAGAGUAUCACCAUCGACACCACCCUACUGGUCCAUUUCUUUGGGAAGAAAGGGAAGGCAGAGCUUACAUUUGAUGACUUCUACAGGUUUAUGGAUAACCUUCAAACAGAGGUUUUGGAAAUUGAGUUUCUGACCUACUCUAAAGGGAUGACCACCAUCAGUGAAGAAGACUUUGCCAAAAUCCUGCUGCGCUUCACCAACGUGGAGAACAUCAGCGCCUACCUGGAGAAUGUCCGUCAGUGUAUACCUGACGAGAAGGGAAUCACCUUUGAUGAGUUCAGAUCCUUCUUCCAGUUUCUGAACAACCUUGAGGACUUUGCCAUUGCCAUGCAGAUGUACAAUUUUGCAUCUCGCUCCAUUGGACAAGAUGAGUUUGCAAGAGCGGUGUAUGUGGCCACUGGGCUGAAGCUGACACGUCACCUUGUACACACCAUCUUCAAGAUCUUUGACGUAGAUCAUGACGACCAGCUCUCCUAUAAGGAGUUCAUCGGUAUAAUGAAGGACCGUCUGCACAGGGGAGCCAGGAUGAAGGGCCGACACUACACCUCCUUCUCCAAUUGUGUUCGCUCUGGGGCCAGAAGACAAGUGCACCAGCUCUGGAGGAGGUACAAGGAGAAGCCGUAGAGGAGGGGAGAGAAGGAAGGAAGAAGUCUGGUGAUGGAAUAAAUUGAAUUGAGCUCUGACUUUUAAAGUCAGUAGUCUGACUUAACAGCAUUGUAUUUUUUGAGGGCAGAUCUCCAAUGGACCUCCAAAACAGACAACUACAAGCAUGACACAGCUGACCGCGCUCUGUAUGCUAAUAAUGAGCAACAUCAUUCCUUUUUGGGUUCCUGUUUUCCCAGUCAUUGUGAUCUGAUGUCAGUCAUCCCAAGUACGUUUUACAGAGUAUUAAAACAACAGAAUUAUACUAAAAUAUGACUGUAGUGUCAAAGCAUGACUCCUCCCCAACAGUCAGUACUAACUAACUAAUCAUUAUUUCUGUUUUGGAUAAAUCUGCAUUUUUUUUUUAAAUUAAGCUAUAAAAAAUAUUAUUGUGACCAGUCUGAAAAUGCAAAGUACUAAUUUUAUAACAUAUUAUAUACAUAUAACUAAACAAGUGAACAUUUUUGAAGUUCUUCCUACCAACCAGUACUUUCACUUAAUGAAUGACAUUAUCGAUUACUCAUAAAAAAAUAUAAUAUAUGCUUGUUUUUAACUUUUUUCUGCACUACAAAGUGUAACUGAAAGAGCACAACAAUAAUAACAAAAUCUAUUUGAUAAUUAUAACAUUAAAAAAUAACAGUAAUGUAAAAUAGUAUAUUAACAUACAAAGGAACACUACAGUUUUAGAAUUAAAGGAAGGCUUUGUGAAUAUGUUUUGUCCUCACAUCAUUUAAAUAAUUUCAGUCUUUUUUCACUUAAUUUGAGUUUGAUCUCAUUUCGCCAUUAUAGUUGUUGCUUUUUAUUGCACCGAGAGAGAGAGAGCACGUAAACACUAUUAAUACAGUUAGAAAUGCUUUAUUAUCCUAAUAUUACUAUGGCACUAGACAAUGGAAGAGAUUUCUUUUUUGUAAUUUCAAUAUUUGACAUCACUGAAUCCUUAAUGUUUUAACCUUUGUGUUAGUCUUAGUUGCAUGUAUGGCAUAUAUACAGUAUGUCUAUAUAGGACAUAGAUAUCAACAUAGGUGCCUUCUACCCAUUCCUUAUCUCAUCUGAAAAAUGUCACAUAGGAAAUCACUUUUCCAGCAAAUAAUUCAGCACCAUGUAGCUUUUAAUAACAACAGAACUUAAAAGAUGUACUGUAUGAUUCACUGACCCUUCUUUAAUGUCGUAAUAUAUUUUUAAUUGAAUAUUUGGACGUCUUGGGGUGAAAUAAGGAAUAUAUUUUGAAUAUAUUGAAAUGAAGGAAAAAGUCUAUAUGUGUAAGAAAUUGCAGUUGUUUUUUUUCAUAGUUAGUUUCCAUAGAAGUUAUUUCUCAUAAUAUAAAUGAUCUCCAUCGUGUUAUCAAUAAUGGAUGUUUGUCACAUCAGUGGACCUGGUGAAUGAAUUUUCAUGCAUGAAUAAACUAUUUUAAGAGGACGUCUGUGGUUUUCACUGAGCAUGCGCAAUGAAACUCUUUCCGCGACUACUUUUUUAAUUGACAGAAAGGGACCAAUGAAGUUGUAGUACGUGUUUUGACUUUAUGUUGGUCCUAAUGAGACACCGAGACGAAGCUGGCUGUGGGGCAAUUGAAGCACUUAGCUGACUUAUUAGCGAGCUACUUAGCGUUAGCACACUGGAUAGUAAAGUGAAAGGGAUACCGGUGUGCCAGCUAAGUAUCACCAGUUUUUCCUGAUUCGUUUUCACAAGUUUGUUCAUUAUAAUGUGUGUUUGGUGAAGUUUAUCUGUGACGUUAGUUUAUAGAGCUACAGACGUGUAAAAACUAACCCUAAUCUCACCUGUCGUCGGUGGUUACAGUGAUAGCUAGAAGAGACAGUCCACUUUUCUAAUUAACUCACUGAUAUGUUGAUGUAACGUUAAGUUGUCAUAAGUUAGGAAGGCAAAUGGUGAUAGGGUAUUUUCAACUGUAAACAUAGCAUACACUGGAUAAUUUAAAAGAAAAAUACUCAUCAAAACUGACCCCUCGUCGAAGAAAUGUUAAUGUUAACGUUAUAAUGAAAGGCUGCCCUCAUGUGUCGUAACCUAGCAACUGCUCAUAAAACGGCACCAGUGAAGACGUUCCCGUUAUGGUAACUUACGUAAAAUGACCACAGGGUUUGUCCGAUAUUCAACGUACCGAGACAUUAUCUGUAGGUAGACCACAAAUGCGUGUUAGUUGUCGUCGUUUCAAUUACUUAAGUUGAUGCUCCAGAAACCCUCAAAGCAAAACGGGUCUGUUGUUAGGGUUGUAAACGGAACUGUCCUGCGGUGCCAUGUUCCUGCCCGGAGCAUUAUUAACGCUGCAUCGUUCAGAAUGUAUCUCGUAAAAACGGUUUGAAACUAAAUUUAAUUACUUUUAAUACUUAAAACCUCGUCCCUUUUGGAUUUAUAUUAACGUUAAUUGUCCCAGCAGCCCGAUCUGUUAAGGUGUUGAGUCGUACAAAACGUCAAAAAAUGAGUAAAAAGAAAUUAACGGACGUGCGUGACUCAAAGCGCAAAGCAUUGUGGGUAAUAAGAAGUUGAAUUCUAACAUUUAAUGAACAUCUCUGUUGUCGAUUCAGACUAAAGUUGUGUUAUUGUGACUUUGUUACGGUUAUACUAUGUUUACGUGUCAUUAUUUGGUCGUUUUGGUAAUUUUGCCUCCGCACCCUGAGUGAGAACGGUAGUCCUGUGAAUCACCUGCUGUAUUCACCCUCAAUCUCACUAAGACUAUACUUUCAGGGAUCAUUUCUAUAGUUUCUGACUUGAGAAAUGUGUUUCUAAAGUGUUUGGUCUCGCUAACCACGAUGAUGAGUCGUGAUAUUUCCUUCUGAGCGUGAAGCUGACAGAGAAUAAUGAUUCAGUUCAUAUGUUCUCUGUCAUUGAUGACCGUUCAUUGUUUCCUAGAGGAGCAUUGAGGAAGGGAAUAUGAUCAGAGUGGUUUUCUACAACUUGGUUAAACAAAAAAUGAUAUAUUAGUGUAGUUGAUAUGUAAUUAAAAUAAAAAGGUAGGAUUCCAGGUACUUCCAUUUCACUAUAUUUUCUAACAUUUUAUACACAACAUAAUUAUUAGUAAACAUAGUUGACAGAUGUAUAUAUUGUAAAUAUGAGUAAAGUAAUCAUUGUGGUUUCAAAACUACCAUUGUAAAAAAACAACAACUCUAUUUUGAAUAUAUAUUGACGUAACUUGUGUAUUUUUAAACAUAAAUUAAUGACAUAAUAGUGUAGAGGUUCUGCCAAUCAGAACAUUUCUCUGCCUGGAAUAAUGCAGACUAUAUUGUACUAUCCAAAACAAAUGAGAAGAAAGAUCCAAUUUUACAGUGUCAUUAAUUUAAACUUGGUCUGUAAUAUUUCUUCUAGUUAGUGAGUAAAAGUAGUGUCUUAACUUUGACUAAAUGUAAUCAUUGUAACUUUUUAUAACUUUUCUUACUUUACUUAAAACCAAAGUUUUUCUCUAUUUCAGUGCUGCCUUUCUCUCCUGUCUGUGUGCUCUCUUUAUCACAGCGGUGCUCUCAGUCUUGCAGUGAUUGGCUGUGCUAUGCUGUCUCAUUUACAUAAACAGAUAUGACUGGAGGAGACAGCAGAGAGGAACCCUGAGUGAGAACGGUAUGAACCUAAUGUCUGCGUGAACACAGCGAGCUGCAGCCAUGGCAGCAAUGAGAGUAUCCGCAGAGAUAAUGUUGGAGUCUGUCCGACCUAAACAGCCUCUGCAUCUCCAUGACCAGAGACGUAGUCAAACAUGGGUAAAUGUUGGAGAUACAUUUGAAAGAUGGAGACAGCUUUGUAUCAGAAAGGACUUCAGGACUUAUGUGGAGCUCGGGGUGGUGUGUCGGUGUGUGGAGAUGUUUUUGCUGAACAGAACCGCUGUGAGACGAGCUGUGGCUGGGACUGCUCACCAUAUGACAAAGGAACACAACAUGACUGCAUUAACACAAUGGGACACAGUACUGGCUCAUAGGAGGCUCAUGAGGCUCUGACAGACAUUAUCAGGAACAAGCAAUGGCUGAAAUCUCCAGCUGAUCUUGAGUCUGUGCAGAAUCACACACUGAUGUAUGAUUUAGCUCUGCAGCCUUUGAGGCCAGAACCCUGCUCACAGCCCUGGACUACAACGACCAUAAGGACCAAUCAGACCGGACGAAACCUGAUGGAAGCAAACAAUAUGACUGGAGGAGACAGAAACUGGAGGAGACAGCAGAGAGGAACCCUGAGUGAGAACGGUAGUCCUGUGAAUGACAUGCUGUGUUCACCCUCAAUCACACUAAGACUAUACUUUCAGGGAUCAUUUCUAUAGUUUCUGACUUGAGAAAUGUGUUUCUAAAGUGUUUGGUCUCGCUAACCACGAUGAUGAGUCGUGAUAUUUCCUUCUGAGCGUGAAGCUGACAGAGAAUAAUGAUUCAGUUCAUAUGUUCUCUGUCAUUGAUGACCGUUCAUUGUUUCCUAGAGGAGCAUUGAGGAAGGGAAUAUGAUCAGAGUG